CGGAUGAUGAUGAGACUCACGUGCCAAACACACAAAGGCAUGUUUGAAUGUUAAUGUUUUGGUGGAUUUGUGGAUUGUGUAAGUGUUUUGUGGAUGUUUGCGAGGAGUGAAGUAGUCUAAUGUUGUAGACUAACUUAGUGUAGACUAAUUUAAUGUUUUGUGGAUGUUUGCAAAGGUUGAAGUAGCUUAAUGUCUCUUGUGAAUGUUUGAAUGACGUUUUGAUUCAACUUUGAAGUAAAUUCGAAUUGAAUUUGAUGUAUUGGUGGUUGUAAUAUAUGUGUUUGUUGAAGUAGCUUAACGUUUUAUGUAUUUGUAGUAGUUUGGUGAAUUGUUGGCAGCUAUUUGAGCUGAUUUUAGUUGAAUAUAAAAUUGUUUUCAUCUUGA